rnacentral:rRNA from 1 species
UUGCGGCGUGGAUAAGACAUGCAAGUCGAACGAGAGAAUUGCUAGCUUGCUAAUAAUUCUCUAGUGGCGCACGGGUGAGUAACACGUGAGUAACCUGCCCCCGAGAGCGGGAUAGCCCUGGGAAACUGGGAUUAAUACCGCAUAGUAUCGAAAGAUUAAAGCAGCAAUGCGCUUGGGGAUGGGCUCGCGGCCUAUUAGUUAGUUGGUGAGGUAACGGCUCACCAAGGCGAUGACGGGUAGCCGGUCUGAGAGGAUGUCCGGCCACACUGGAACUGAGACACGGUCCAGACACCUACGGGUGGCAGCAGUCGAGAAUCAUUCACAAUGGGGGAAACCCUGAUGGUGCGACGCCGCGUGGGGGAAUGAAGGUCUUCGGAUUGUAAACCCCUGUCAUGUGGGAGCAAAUUAAAAAGAUAGUACCACAAGAGGAAGAGACGGCUAACUCUGUGCCAGCAGCCGCGGUAAUACAGAGGUCUCAAGCGUUGUUCGGAAUCACUGGGCGUAAAGCGUGCGUAGGCUGUUUCGUAAGUCGUGUGUGAAAGGCGCGGGCUCAACCCGCGGACGGCACAUGAUACUGCGAGACUAGAGUAAUGGAGGGGGAACCGGAAUUCUCGGUGUAGCAGUGAAAUGCGUAGAUAUCGAGAGGAACACUCGUGGCGAAGGCGGGUUCCUGGACAUUAACUGACGCUGAGGCACGAAGGCCAGGGGAGCGAAAGGGAUUAGAUACCCCUGUAGUCCUGGCAGUAAACGGUGCACGCUUGGUGUGCGGGGAAUCGACCCCCUGCGUGCCGGAGCUAACGCGUUAAGCGUGCCGCCUGGGGAGUACGGUCGCAAGAUUAAAACUCAAAGAAAUUGACGGGGACCCGCACAAGCGGUGGAGUAUGUGGCUUAAUUCGAUGCAACGCGAAGAACCUUACCUGGGCUUGACAUGUAAUGAACAACAUGUGAAAGCAUGCGACUCUUCGGAGGCGUUACACAGGUGCUGCAUGGCCGUCGUCAGCUCGUGUCGUGAGAUGUUUGGUUAAGUCCAGCAACGAGCGCAACCCCUGUUGCCAGUUACCAGCACGUGAAGGUGGGGACUCUGGCGAGACUGCCCAGAUCAACUGGGAGGAAGGUGGGGACGACGUCAGGUCAGUAUGGCCCUUAUGCCCAGGGCUGCACACGUACUACAAUGCCCAGUACAGAGGGGGCCGAAGCCGCGAGGCGGAGGAAAUCCUGAAAACUGGGCCCAGUUCGGACUGUAGGCUGCAACCCGCCUACACGAAGCCGGAAUCGCUAGUAAUGGCGCAUCAGCUACGGCGCCGUGAAUACGUUCCCGGGUCUUGUACACACCGCCCGUCACAUCAUGGAAGCCGGUCGCACCCGAAGUAUCUGAAGCCAACCGCAAGGAGGCAGGGUCCUAAGGUGAGACUGGUAACUGGGAUGAA